AGAGGUCAAAGCAGGCACCAGUGAGUUCACUCACCUCCGAUCGCCACACACAGGCAGGCCCGGGGGGGUGGUCGCUGCCUCUGCUCUGGGGCUCCACCUUGGGCCGCUCAGGCCUCCCUCGCCCUCUCCAGGUCCAGAAACCUCCUUUUACCAGAAAGAGUCAGCAACCAAUUAGGCGGCGACCUGCUUUUACCACCCAGAUAAGAAACUGUGAGGAAUGCCCCGGCCUCGGGGUUACUGCGGUGCCUGAGAAGGUGUUUAGGGGAGAUUGAACUUGAGUGUUCAGACUGCUUACUCAUUAGCAGUUUCAGACGAGAAGACUGGAGCCUGAUCGUGGAAACGAAUAUGAAGCGAGAGUUUUUCACCGUGUCCUUUAACUGCCUAAAACAGAUUUGCUGCCCAUAACUAAGGAGCAAGGAUUCACGGAUUCACUGCCUACAGCCCUGUGCGGAGGGGGGGGGAAGGGGGGGAGAGGGGAUGAUAAACACACACACACACACACACACACUCUGGCUUCUCAUUUCACGAUCUUAAGUUUAUUUCUUCCUUUUCUUUUGUUUAUUCAGUAGCUUACAGAAUUUAUGACACAAAGAGGGAUCCUGGAGGCAGGGUUAUGCCACAGCAAUGUGUGGGGAUAAUAUAAAGCCAGGUGAUUUCCAAUGCAUUGGAGGGAGAUGGGAGUCAGUCUAGGUGUGAACUCGUCAUGUCACCAGCUGCUGGGCUUGCCCACCUGUAGGUAUCCCUUGGACCUGGCUGUCUCCCCACUCUCACGGAGUGGGGGACAAGUCCUAGAAUGCCCCAGUCAGGUUAUAGCAGAGCUACCCAAGUAUUACACUUGAAGCAAGUUGUUCUACACAUUAUAAACAAAGGGAAUGAGACUUGGGUUUAAACCAUUAUAAUAAAGGUGGCAUACUUUGUGGUGUGUUUUUACAAUGGGGUAAUGUAUAUGUUAAAACAGUAAAUAUUUGUAUCAGUUGUUUGUACAAAUUAACAUGGAAAAAAGACUCAGAGAAAUUAUUUAAUGAAACAUUGUUUUGGCAA